rnacentral:rRNA from 1 species
AGUGAACGCUGGCGGUAGGCCUAACACAUGCCAGUCGAACGGCAGCACAGUAAGAGCUUGCUCUUACGGGUGGCGAGUGGCGGACGGGUGAGGAAUACAUCGGAAUCUACUUUUUCGUGGGGGAUAACGUAGGGAAACUUACGCUAAUACCGCAUACGACCUACGGGUGAAAGCAGGAGAGCUUCGGACCUUGCGCGAUUGAAUGAGCCGAUGUCGGAUUAGCUAGUUGGCGGGGUAAAGGCCCACCAAGGCGACGAUCCGUAGCUGGUCUGAGAGGAUGAUCAGCCACACUGGAACUGAGACACGGUCCAGACUCCUACGGGAGGCAGCAGUGGGGAAUAUUGGACAAUGGGCGCAAGCCUGAUCCAGCCAUACCGCGUGGGUGAAGAAGGCCUUCGGGUUGUAAAGCCCUUCUGUUGGGAAAGAAAAGCAGCAGGUUAAUACCCCGCUGUUCUGACGGUACCCAAAGAAUAAGCACCGGCUAACUUCGUG